GGAAGGGUGGCCGAGUGGUUCAAGGCGCACGCUUGGAAAGCGUGUGGGAGCAAUCCCUCGCAGGUUCGAAUCCUGUCCCUUCCG
rnacentral:tRNA from 1 species